UUUCUAGAUUUUAGUCAUAUCCUAUCUAUCCUACCCUAUCUUAACCUACAUACAUCAUCAGUAAGCACUUUAUCCUGGUCAUGAUAGCAGUGGAUCCAGAGCCAACCACAGGCAUCAGGAGGCAUGGGAUGCUUGUCCAUCUCCAGACAUCAUGUAGCUCCUAGUGUUCAAUCAGAGUAACUCCAUAGAAUGAUAUUCUUUCUAGGAUAUCCUGAAUUCCAGCGAUGGCACAGAAGCAUAUAAAAGGGGGUGUAAGCAGCUGGAGGCCUUCACCUACAAUGUUCAACUUCA